rnacentral:rRNA from 1 species
GCCCUUUGGUUCGGAACAACUCAGGGAAACUUGAGCUAAUACCGGAUGUGCCCUUCGGGGGAAAGAUUUAUCGCCAUUGGAGCGGCCCGCGUCUGAUUAGCUAGUUGGUGAGGUAAAGGCUCACCAAGGCGACGAUCAGUAGCUGGUCUGAGAGGAUGAUCAGCCACAUUGGGACUGAGACACGGCCCAAACUCCUACGGGAGGCAGCAGUGGGGAAUCUUGCGCAAUGGGCGAAAGCCUGACGCAGCCAUGCCGCGUGAAUGAUGAAGGUCUUAGGAUUGUAAAAUUCUUUCACCGGGGACGAUAAUGACGGUACCCGGAGAAGAAGCCCCGGCUAACUUCGUGCCAGCAGCCGCGGUAAUACGAAGGGGGCUAGCGUUGCUCGGAAUUACUGGGCGUAAAGGGAGCGUAGGCGGACUGUUUAGUCAGAGGUGAAAGCCCAGGGCUCAACCUUGGAAUUGCCUUUGAUACUGGCAGUCUUGAGUACGGAAGAGGUAUGUGGAACUCCGAGUGUAGAGGUGAAAUUCGUAGAUAUUCGGAAGAACACCAGUGGCGAAGGCGACAUACUGGUCCGUUACUGACGCUGAGGCUCGAAAGCGUGGGGAGCAAACAGGAU